rnacentral:lncRNA from 1 species
GUGCUGGGUGCUGCGUGCUGGGUGCUGCGUGCUGGGUGCUGGGUGCUGGGUGCUGCAUGCUGCUGCGUGCUGCGUGCUGCACAUCCCCACCAUGCCCACAGAACCAUCCAGGUUGGGAUGGUCCUCCAAGACCCCCAAGUCUGACCCCGAAGUCCGACACCCUUCCAUUGCUGCCAUGCCCACGGAACCAUCCAGGUUGGAAAGGUCCUCCAAGACCCUCACCAUGCCCAUAGAACCAUCACGGUUGGAAAGGUCCUUCAAGACCCCCAAGUCCAACCCCCUUCCAUCCCCACCAUGGCCAUGGAACCAUCCAGGUUGGGAAGGUCCUCCAAGACCCCCAAGUCUGACCCCAGCCCAUCCCCACUGUGCCCAUAGAACCAUCCAGGUUGGAAAGGUCCUCCAAGACCCCCAAGUCCAACCCCCUCCCAUCCCCACCGUGCCCAUAAAACCAUCCAGGUGGGGAAGGUCCUCCAAGACCCCCACCAUGCCCAACCCCAACCCAUCCCCACCAUGGCCACAGAACCAUCAAGGUUGGGAAGGUCCUCCAAGACCCCCAAGUCCAACCCCCUUCCAUCCCCACCAUGGCCACAGAACCAUCCAGGUUGGAAAGGUCCUUCAAGACCCCCAAGUGUGACCCCUCCCAUCACCGCUGUGCCCACAGAACCAUCCAGGUGGGGAAGGUCCUCCAAGACCCCCAAGUCCAACCCCCUCCCAUUGCUGCCGUGCCCAUAGAACCAUCCAGGUUGGAAAGAUCCUCCAAGACCCCCAAGUCUGACCCCAACCCAUCGCCUCCGUGCCCACAGAACCAUCCAGGUUGGGAAGGUCCUCCAAGACCCCCAAGUCCAACCCCCUCCCAUCCCCACCGUGCCCAUAGAACCAUCCAGGUUGGAAAGAUCCUCCAACACCCCCAAGUCCAACCUCCUCCCAUCCCCACCGUGCCCAUA